CAUGUGCUCCAGUCACUGGGGCACAUCUCAACAACCUCCCCAGAGUGUUUCUCGUUGGGGGCAAGUAAACAGCUUGGCUUGCAGAGCAGGACCAGUCCCUCCUUUGCAAAAUAUCAUCAAGAAAAAGGUGAAUGGUUUUACACACACUUUUCAUAAAGUCCUGCAUUAUUCCCUGAGAAGCUGAAGAAGAGAGACAAGAGACUAGGAAAGGCAAUAACCUCUCCAGAUCAAAGGAUAGAUCACAAGGAAUAAAGAACUGAAAAGCUUUUGGAAGUGAAAAAUAAGGUUUUUGUAAAACUGGGGGUUUAUUAGACACACAUGGAGACAAUAGGCUUGAUUUACAAAACCACUCAGUGAUAACAGAAAUAGACUUCCCCUUGGCAUCUGUAAAAAUCUCAUCUACAAACACAGAUUUCUGGUACCACAGGCUGGUCCUUCUAACUACUGUCUCCUGCAGCUACACUUUGUGUCAGAGAAAAUGGAUUGAAUGGAAAAAUGAAACAGGCAUGAAUCAGCCAGCCCCGAGGUCUCUGCUCAACUCUGGCACCCAAAUAAACUGGUAAAAACCCCAACCGUAUUAGUAAACAUUGUUUUUAAAUUUAAAUAUGUUUUAAUGUCAAGGCUGCACAAGAGGUUUAAUUGCUUCUGUAAGAGAGAGGUUUUCAGAACCAGACUCUGCUGUGGAGGGUCAGAAUAUCUGCUCACCGCUGCAGAAGCAGAAACCUAAACUGGCUCUGGCUCUCUGUUCCAGCGGCCUAAGCCAGGCUCACUCUCAAUAGAAUGAUCACCACAUAUCUGCAGUCAUGCAGAUCGAGUGUUAGCGGCCUCGGUGCAGGGGCAUCUCUACCCAAACGUGCAGGCACACGCAGCAUGGGUGUAAAUCACAUCCACAUCAGGUGCGAGUUGCCAGGGGAUGGCAUUCCCGAGGGGUCCAGCUGCCACAAGGGUUUUAAACAUGCUCUGCCAGGAUCAGUCACUUCUGUCACUAUACUCCUAUACUCACCUGCUUUUGCACCAGACCUCACAAAUGUCUGUGUUUUCUAUGCGGCAGUAUUACCUGCACACGUGACUGCGGAUAAGAAAGCCACCAGUUGCCAAUGAGGGGCUGAUCUGGAGCUCACUCAUGGUGGCUUUUUGGAGUGGUGUAAGGUACCUUCUGCUAAAUGUGAGUAAGGAUAGGCUCAGUAGAGUCUUAAGUAAGUUAAAGUGUGAUUUAACCCUUUGUUUUACAUUUGCAAUCUACAUUGUCCCAUGUUUUUAAUGAGGCCUGAGGUGGGCAGCUCUGCAGCUAGCUGAUGUGUUGAACACAGGAGCUCAGGUCAUCACACUCUUGCAUAAAUUCAUUUGCUAUAUCAUUGUCAUCCCUGUAUCAACACUCCUAAAAAUGUCUCCAAGUGCCUUUUCUAAAUCCCUUAAAUUGAAUUAAAAAAAGGAAAAUGCACUCCUGUCCUUUUCCAAAUGCCACCUUUACAGCCAGUGCAACUGGGGCACAGCUCCACGCAAUGCCUCUAAGGUUAGAAAGGACACUUCAUUCUCAGCAUGGCAAGCACUAUCUGGAUAUUUGCUAAGGGGUGAAAUGGAUUCUGCUGGCUGGCCUGGCUUCUCACAUACCUUAAAUAGCUGUAAGCUGACAACCCAACCUGGGUAAUGCUUUGCUUAAUGCCGUGCUUCCUUUUAGGAGCCUGGAAUCAGGUUGUGUGAAUCCAAAUCUGCAUGUUACUCCUUCAUGAGUAAAUAUGAUCUGCAUCCACUUGUUUACAAUUUAUGCUGAAGUGGGUGACCCUGGGAUUGCAGGAGCCAAUCCAAGUGAGGAGAUUUGGCUGCAGUAGUAGUUUAGCUGUGGGAGAGGAGAUGGCUGCAGGCUGCUCCAGCCUUGGCUCCUCAGAAGACUGUGAGUGAAGAAACAAUUCAAAGAAAAACAAAACAUCUGUUAGUGAAGCAAUAUUCAGGUGAAAAUCCAGCUGAGGAGUGGGUUUGAGAGCUCUACACUGAGCAUCACUGACAAAACCCCCGUGACCUUGUGGAGGUGGAAUAUAAAUUAUACUCUGUGCAGUCAGUUCAUACACCCCAGGAACUAACUGCCUCCUGAGCCUAGGGUGGCCAAACCAGACUUUUGAUAGCCAUGAGGGCUCCACCACCAUGCACAUGAUGGUGGUGAAGGUGGCGGCAUCUAGGUAAGUGAUUUGUGAGCACUAGGAGACAUCGGUGGAUGCCAGUAAGUAAAAAGGCUGUGG